rnacentral:lncRNA from 10 species
UGGUGUCAGAAUUGGAACAUGAAGUAGAACUUCCAGUAACCCCUAGGAGCAUCAAGUGACCCAGAGAGGUAACCCCCUCCACCAGGGUCCAUUGCAUCCAUUGCUCUCUCACAGCAACUGAGGCUCAUGGUGGUAACUUUGUGAGACAAGCCUCAAAUUUUACCACUGUACCAAGAAAUGAAAGCCAGAAUGUGGAAUUGGAGCUGGUAAUGACGACGUCAGGACAGGUUCAAAGGAAGCCCAUCACUUGAGUAAAAAUUUAUAGCCCUGCUUGUGCUGUGCUGUGCUGUGCUGUGAGUUUCAGUUCCGGGCCAGCAAAAGAUUUAUCAAAGGAAAGCAACAAGGUGUGUGGAAAUAGAAGGUAAGAAAAAUUAAUUUCAGAGAGGAAAAUAAAGUUGCUUGAGGUAGGAUAUUUCAAACCUUGGAUUCUAACCUGGCUCUAACUGACUCAAAGAAAGGGGCUCUUCAAUGACCAAAGGCCAUAAGAGACUGGAAGGCAAAAGGACCCAUUAAUGUAAUCCAAACAUCAGUCUCCUGCAGCAAAGAGGUGAAUGGAGAAGGGUGGAGAGUAGCUGUGGACGAGUGAAAAAGACAUCGCACCAUGUCUUCAAAUUACAUCCAGCAACUUCAUAUGAACUAUGAAACCCUUGUUGCCACAAUAGUCCCUCUUUGUUUGAACUACUACAAGAAUAAAGAAAUUUCUUUCUAAUCUUUUGCAGAAGAAUUACAUAGACUCUCACUUACUGCUCUUGUUUCAUAGGUGGCUGAUUUUCCAAUUAUAUUAAAUACUUUUGGAAGGGCUGGGACUACAUCUAAUUUCUUGAAAAGUCUGGUGCUGUGGAAGACCAAGACCCAGACUGUUGAGGUCAGCCUAAUGUAAUGUGAAAUAUCUAAACUCUGCGUACUUCUUUACCAUGAGUGUAUAGAUAAAAUAUCAUUGCAUUUAAGGAAAUUGCUUAAAGCCUCACAGUGAAUAAAGUUGACAAAACAUGUAGACUUAUUGCAGAUUUUAUGCAUUUAGGUUUUAUGGCUUCAUUUGCAAUCAGGACUCCCCUCCCCUCCCUUCCUCCCUUCCUUCCCUUCCCUUCCCUGUCCUUCUUUCUUUCCUUUCCUUCCCCUUCCUUCCUUCUCCUCGUCCUGUUU